AUUGAACGCUGGCGGCAGGCUUAACACAUGCAAGUCGAGCGGGGUGAUGGUGCUUGCACUAUCACUUAGCGGCGGACGGGUGAGUAAUGCUUAGGAAUCUGCCUAUUAGUGGGGGACAACAUCUCGAAGGGGAUGCUAAUACCGCAUACGUCCUACGGGAGAAAGCAGGGGAUCUUUAUGACCUUGCGCUAAUAGAUGAGCCUAAGUCGGAUUAGCUAGUUGGUGGGGUAAAGGCCUACCAAGGCGACGAUCUGUAGCGGGUCUGAGAGGAUGAUCCGCCACACUGGGACUGGGACACGGCCCAGACUCCUACGGGAGGCAGCAGUGGGGAAUAUUGGACAAUGGGGGGAACCCUGAUCCAGCCAUGCCGCGUGUGUGAAGAAGGCCUUAUGGUUGUAAAGCACUUUAAGCGAGGAGGAGGCUCUUUUGGUUAAUACCCAGAAUGAGUGGACGUUACUCGCAGAAUAAGCACCGGCUAACUCUGUGCCAGCAGCCGCAGUAAAAC
rnacentral:rRNA from 1 species